rnacentral:pre_miRNA from 1 species
AAUUUACUCCCUCCGUUCGGAAUUACUUGUCGCAGAAAUGGAUGUAUCUAGAUGUAUUUUAGUUCUAGAUACAUCCAUUUCCGAGACAAGUAAUUCCGAAUGAAAGGAGUACAUG